rnacentral:rRNA from 1 species
UACGAGGGGGGCAAGCGUUGUUCGGAAUUAUUGGGCGUAAAGGGUGCGUAGGCGGUUUGACAAGUCUGAUGUGAAAUCUAUGGGCUCAACCCAUAGCCUGCAUCGGAAACUGUCGGGCUUGAGUAUGGGAGAGGUGGAGUGGAAUUUCCGGUGUAGCGGUGAAAUGCGUAGAUAUCGGAAGGAACACCUGUGGCGAAAGCGGCUCACUGGACCAUUACUGACGCUGAGGCACGAAAAGCUAGGGGAGCAAACAGGAGUUAGAAUACCCUAGUACGUC